rnacentral:rRNA from 1 species
CCCGCUGAACUUAAGCAUAUCAAUAAGCGGAGGAAAAGAAACUAACAAGGAUUCCCCUAGUAACUGCGAGUGAGGCGGGAAGAGCUCAAAUUUAAAAUCUGGCGGUCUCGCGGCCGUCCGAGUUGUAAUCUGGAGAAGCGUUUUCCGCGUCGGACCGUGUACAAGUCUUCUGGAACGGAGCGUCGUAGAGGGUGAGAAUCCCGUCUCUGACACGGACAGCCGAUGCUUCAUGUGAUACGCUCUCGAAGAGUCGAGUUGUUUGGGAAUGCAGCUCAAAAUGGGUGGUAAAUUCCAUCUAAAGCUAAAUAUUGGCGAGAGACCGAUAGCGAACAAGUACCGUGAGGGAAAGAUGAAAAGAACUUUGGAAAGAGAGUUAAACAGUACGUGAAAUUGCUGAAAGGGAAACGCUUGAAGUCAGUCGCGUUGUCCGGGGAUCAACCUUGCUUUUGCUGGGCGUACUUCCCGGUUGACGGGUCAGCAUCAAUUUUGACCGUUGGAUAAAGUCUAGGGGAAUGUGGCAUCUUCGGAUGUGUUAUAGCCCUUGGUCGCAUACAACGGUUGGGAUUGAGGAACUCAGCACGCCGCAAGGCCGGGUAUUCGUACCACGUUCGUGCUUAGGAUGCUGGCAUAAUGGCUUUAAUCGACCCGUCUUGAAACACGG